GGCGAGUGGCGAACGGGUGAGUAAUGUAUCGGAACGUACCUUUCAGUGGGGGAUAACGUAGCGAAAGUUACGCUAAUACCGCAUAUUCUGUGAGCAGGAAAGCAGGGGAUCGCAAGACCUUGCGCUGAUUGAGCGGCCGAUAUCAGAUUAGCUAGUUGGUGAGGUAAAGGCUCACCAAGGCGACGAUCUGUAGCGGGUCUGAGAGGAUGAUCCGCCACACUGGAACUGAGACACGGUCCAGACUCCUACGGGAGGCAGCAGUGGGGAAUUUUGGACAAUGGGCGCAAGCCUGAUCCAGCCAUGCCGCGUGAGUGAAGAAGGCCUUCGGGUUGUAAAGCUCUUUCAGCCGGGAAGAAAACGCAUGGGUUAAUACCCUGUGUGGAUGACGGUACCGGAAUAAGAAGCACCGGCUAACUACGUGCCAGCAGCCGCGGUAAUACGUAGGGUGCGAGCGUUAAUCGGAAUUACUGGGCGUAAAGCGUGCGCAGGCGGUUUG
rnacentral:rRNA from 1 species